rnacentral:misc_RNA from 1 species
CCCAGCAGGGGUAUCUACAGCUUUGGAACGCAAAAGUUCUGUCAAGCGGUCAAUUUCAUCUCUGCUGAAUGUCUUUUGUUUCAACAGUUGCUCAAACUCUGAGAAUGCACCAUCCUCAGAACUGCAUGCAACUUUGCAAACUUCAUGUCCAGUGGCUACUACUGGUCCAGCAUGAUCAUUAAGACAAGACUCCUGCUGCACAUCCUUUGAUUCUUGUCUUGCUUCUGGAGGAGGUGGCAAUGGCAUCGGAGGUAGUGGUAAUGGUGUCGGAGCAGGG